UUCCGCACCGUCGAUGACAAGCAGAAGUUUGCGUGAACUUCUUGUAAGUUGUACUUGUAAAUCAGAGAGUUACGAUAUCAUAACGAUAUCAGUUUCCAUGAUGUAUCCUGUAGUACAUUUGUGUUUGUAUGGCUGUGACGGUCGGUUUAAUGAAGUCGAGCAAAAUUGUCUGAAAUCCACAAUUCUGGAAUUUGAAGAAGACAACACGAUCAUCAAGCUCCAUGCACGUGGCCACACUGCCGCUGCAUGCUGCAACCUGCUGCAUAUUUUGGAUGGAGGGACAAACUACAGAUAGCCACACAAGGCUGCGUCUAGACGAACUCGGUGCUUUGAAAGCCUAACACCUUUUGGGAUCAUCAUGACUGGCUUGAGCAUCUGGAACGUGCUGCAUCCUAUCAAGAGCAUUCUCUUGGAACUUUAGGGUACUGCUUGAGUCUGGCAUGUUACUGUGCAGGAACAUCUAUGUACUGGCACUCAAACUCACACAGGAAAAGAUCAUGUAAGCUUCAUAGCAAUGGUGGUUUCCCUUGAUUGUCUACCUACUACAUGUAUGCCAGGACUGGUCCUGUUGUGAGGAAAUGAUGUUAUUUCAUAACUGCGCAGGUUUGGUACAGAUUACAUGCUCUCAGUUCAUUCCUAGUGUUCUUAAGAUCCUUGCUUCAAAGCAGACAAAUUUCUGUUUCCACGGGCGUGGAAAAUCCCAAGUGCUGUGUUCCACACACUAUCCGUGACGUGGCAGUUCGUCUGGAGCUGAACCAUUCUCAGCAAGGAUCCAUACACUUGAGGUUGCUCCUUUAGCACAAGCAUCUUCCUUAAGCCAUAGGUGCUUGUCUUCCAACCACAUGCAACUACAGCACCUCCAUCAGGCUUUUGGGGACCAGGAGCUGGGUCAUUCACUUUACCUUGAUAUUGUCAUCUUUGACAAUCCACCCAUGAUGUGGUGAUGGAGGUUCAGUGAUGGCUACAAUGGUUCUUCUACCAAUAACUGUCUGGUAAGCACAACGUCUGAUGUGCUGAAUCCGUGUAUCUUUACAAGGAGGCAUUUUACUGAAGAUUUGCACAGAAUGAGCGGUACUUGGUUUUGUUGACAUCUUUAUGACGAUACAGGUUGCAUACAAAUUCCUCAAGCAGAUAUCAGUUCUGAACUUAGAGUAUAGUCAGCUCCAAGCUCUUCAAGUGCUUUCAAGUAAUCAUUAAUGAACAUUUUGACAUGCAAGGUCAAGUGCUUCUUCCCUUGAAGAAAGUCAAAUACAGUCAAAUCGCAAUAAUAAAAACUCUUUUGGACUUGGCAGAUUACCUUGUUAUAACAUGUUAUCUGUAGAAAAAAAUUGAAAAGGGGUUUGACUUAAAUAAUUCUUUUGUUAUCAGCAGAACCUUGUAUUUCAGCACUCUUACCUGGGGUCUGAUUUAAGUCAACAGUAGUGAGUGUCAAACUGUGUCUGGAUUUCUGGGGAAAAAAACAAGCCAAAACAAAUGCAAGGAAAAAGGAACAGCUUUAUAAUGUAUUGAAAAGUGUCAUAUCCCAAAGCACAAAUACUAAACCUUUAACAUUCAGCUUACAAUCCCGAUGAGUGAUGGGGUCUAUGUGUUGGAUUGACUACUGUGUAGUUCUUGUAUAGCAGAUUUGAUGGCAGUGUACAUGUACUUCAAGACAGGAGCUGCUUUUAUCACAAAGCAAGCACAUUCAGUUUUCACUGGCACUGUUUUGCAUAGCAAGUCUUUACUGAAUCAUUGCCAAAGAAUACUAUGUCAAAGAAAUCAUCUGUGUUUACUUGUCAGGGAAAUGAACCAAAGGCACAACAUACCAUCAACGGUCAAAACAAAAAAAAAGGUUGAGAAAGUGACUGAAAAAGAUUGGAGAUAUUUCCUCUGCCGGCUCUGUCUGAAGGCCUGUUGCAAAAAACUGCAGCAGGAAUAUUUUCCUUUACCUCCGUCAUGUUUCAGUGUCUUUGUAACUUACAUGUAUCUGAAACAUCACGGCCACUGGUGGUUAUCCACUUGUCUGCUCUCUUGCAGGUGAUACAGGUGGCCGGCAAAAUUGUCGACUUCUGAACAUUUUCUGAGGAUGACAACAGUGUUGAGGCCGGCCAGAUACUGCUGUGUACGGUAUAUAGAAGCCAGAGGUUGACAGUGAAAGCGACGAUGGUGACGGUGAACAUGAAAUUCCCGGUGUUGACUACGACGAUGAAGGACGGCUCAGCAACGUCAACUGGUAAUUUUAGCCUUGUGAAGAUCACAUUAUAGACCUUAUUUUGUAAAAUUGUAAGGGAACCAAGAAAGUGUUUCUCUGAAAACUGUUAAGGUGCCAUUUCAUUUACCACGCCAUUGUGAAAAAGCAUAGAACUGUGUCAGCGGUAUGAGGCCAAGUUGUGAAAGUUUUACCGAGAUGUUUCGUAGUGAGCAACUUGUGUCGGGCAAAGACGGAGAUCGCA